GAUGAACGCUGACAGAAUGCUUAACACAUGCAAGUCAACUUGAACUUCGGUUUGGGUGGCGGACGGGUGAGUAACGCGUAAAGAACUUGCCUCACAGAUAGGGACAACAUUUGGAAACGAAUGCUAAUACCUGAUAUUAUGAUUAUAUGGCAUCGUAUAAUUAUGAAAGCUAUAUGCGCUGUGAGAGAGCUUUUCGUCCCAUUAGCUAGUUGGAGAGGUAACGGCUCACCAAGGCGAUGAUGGGUAGCCGGCCUGAGAGGGUGAUCGGCCACAAGGGGACUGAGACACGGCCCUUACUCCUACGGGAGGCAGCAGUGGGGAAUAUUGGACAAUGGACCAAGAGUCUGAUCCAGCAAUUCUGUGUGCACGAUGAAGUUUUUCGGAAUGUAAAGUGCUUUCAGUUGGGAAGAAAAAAAUGACGGUACCAACAGAAGAAGUGACGGCUAAAUACGUG
rnacentral:rRNA from 1 species